UUUUGUUUAAUUAGACGCUCAUGGAACAGCCUUACGUCCUCUUGACAUCCAGAGAAGUUAGCCGAGAUGCUUUUGUGCUUUGGGGAACUCUGAGACAGGAGAGUCANGANNGUNGUCAAGUCGUCUUGUGAAACGUUGGGUUAAGUCCCGCAACGAGNGCAACCCUUAUCCUUUCUUGCCAGCGAUUCGUUCGGGAACUCAAAGGAGUCNNCCAGUGGUAAACUGGAGGAAGGUGGGGAUGACGUCAAGUCAUCAUCNCNUUUCGAGGUCAANUACNUCNGUGAAGCAUUGGCAUAUACAAAGNGAAGGGACCUCACGAGGGCAAGCGGUCCUCAUAAANGGCUCGUAGUCCGGANNGGAGUGAGCAACUCGAGUCCAAAANUCGGAAUCCAUAGUAAUCGUAGAUCAGAAUCA
rnacentral:rRNA from 1 species